UCAAUGUCCGCGAGCUCAACCUUGUUCGAUAACAACAGACUAGUGUGGGGUGGUACCCCCAAUCCACCUUUAUGUCCUGAAACCUGAGGGAAAAGAAGGACCAACAUGCACUGUUCACCGCAACAACCUCCGGACCUGCCCUCUAAACAUGUUGCAGAAUGAACAGGAACCAGAGGAGCAGCUGAGAGGCCAAGAAACCAACAUGCCACCUGACCUUCCACCACCCACUUGGUGGCUCCCAAGUUUGAUAAAUACUACCCAGCAGCCCACAGGACCUGCACCAGGCCCAGCUCAGGCAAACCAAGGACCAGCAGCCCCCAACGGUGUGCCUCUUCGUCCCUCAUGAUGCAGUAAUUCGCACCAGACAGGUCUCCAUUUUGGAUGGACUUGUUUGGAGACCUGAGAGACUCUGGACUCUUCAAUGGCAGCCAUGAACACUAGUAUGUGCACCGCAUUCAACCAAGCAGACUUGCAUCAUGUCCAGGAGGGAUUAAGAAUGAACUGUAUCUCUUGCCUCACAGAUUUGGUUCAAGGGACUGUGGAUUCGCUGUUGAACACAGAGAACUGGAUGUGUUUUCUGAGGCAAGGCAAGUGAUUGAUUUAUGCAGUGAUCCAGACAUUGAGGAAUACCUACAACAGGCUGUGGACCGAAACAGACUACAACAUCCACAAGACUGGAAGACAGCCUCAGAACUUUACAUCACUCUGAAGGAAAUAGCUGAGCUAUAGACAUGGACUAUUGGAAAUCCUUCUUGUUUUUACUUGCUUAUUCAUUUUCUGAUGCAAUGUUUAUGUAAACAUCAAUUAAUAUUAAAAGGCAUUUGUUUGGA